UUUUGCCUGUCUUCACAGAAUUUCCUUACUUUUUUCCCUGUGAACUGCGUUCCAUUAUCUGUUACUUUUGCCCUAAGGCUUUUUCAUUUUGGCGGGAGGCCUUAUUUGGUCUUCUGACCUUACUGCCCUAAGGCUUUCUUCCUUACAGAAUUUCCUUACUUUUUUCCCUGUCUUCACAGAAUUUCCUUACUUUUUUCCCUGUGA
rnacentral:lncRNA from 1 species